AUUGAACGCUAGCGGGAUGCUUUACACAUGCAAGCCGAACGGAGUGGCGGACGGGUGAGUAAUAUACCGGAACGUGCCCAGUAGCGGGGGAUAACUACUCGAAAGAGUGGCUAAUACCGCACACUAUUGUAUCGGCCGAUAUCGGAUUGGCUAGCUGGUGGGGUAAAGGCUCACCAAGGACACGAUCCGUAGCUGGUUUGAGAGGACGACCAGCCGCAGUGGGGAUGGGACGCGGCCCAGAGUCCUGCGAGAGGCAGCAGUGGGGGAUUUUGGACAAUGGGAGAAUCCCUGAUACGGCCAUCCCGCGUGUAUGAUGAAGGCCUUCGGGUUGUAAAGUGUUUUUGGCAGGGAAGCGGUGUCAGCAGAAUAGGCACCGGCUAACUACGUGCCAGCAGCCGCGGUAAUAC
rnacentral:rRNA from 1 species